rnacentral:rRNA from 1 species
GGGCAGCAUUUUAGUUUGCUUGCAAACUGAAGAUGGCGACCGGCGCACGGGUGAGUAACACGUAUCCAACCUGCCGAUAACUCCGGGAUAGCCUUUCGAAAGAAAGAUUAAUACCGGAUGGCAUACGAAUAUCGCAUGAUAUUUUUAUUAAAGAAUUUCGGUUAUCGAUGGGGAUGCGUUCCAUUAGUUUGUUGGCGGGGUAACGGCCCACCAAGACUACGAUGGAUAGGGGUUCUGAGAGGAAGGUCCCCCACAUUGGAACUGAGACACGGUCCAAACUCCUACGGGAGGCAGCAGUGAGGAAUAUUGGUCAAUGGGCGAGAGCCUGAACCAGCCAAGUAGCGUGAAGGAUGAAGGCUCUAUGGGUCGUAAACUUCUUUUAUAUGGGAAUAAAGUUUUCCACGUGUGGAAUUUUGUAUGUACCAUAUGAAUAAGGAUCGGCUAACUCCGUGCCAGCAGCCGCGGUAAUACGGAGGAUCCGAGCGUUAUCCGGAUUUAUUGGGUUUAAAGGGAGCGUAGGUGGAUUGUUAAGUCAGUUGUGAAAGUUUGCGGCUCAACCGUAAAAUUGCAGUUGAAACUGGCAGUCUUGAGUACAGUAGAGGUGGGCGGAAUUCGUGGUGUAGCGGUGAAAUGCUUAGAUAUCACGAAGGACUCCGAUUGCGAAGGCAGCUCACUAGA